CAAAACAGCAUACGUAAAGUGUUUUGAGGAUAUAUUAGGCUACUCUGAACUGAACUGUUGCGACAAAUGCGUUUACAAGAGAUGAGAAGCUGAUUGGAGGUCGCUGUAGAUCGACGUUUAAAACCACCAAUCACAGCGCGAUGUUCCCAUGACGUAAGAACAUUUGAACUCGUCGACAAACAGCGCAAAUAAAGCAACGUUUUUCUGUUGAAGAAAUCGGCGCAGAAUGUCCGUUGUCUAAAUUGGCGACACAUUGAGAUGCUACUGGACACAUUGGCCCAAAACAACAGAACUCCUGGUCAACGGAACUCUUUCACAACUACUCCAAACGGACUGUUUCAAGAUGAUUAACUUACCGAUGACACAAUAAAGUCUCCAUUUACAACCAAGAAUGGCAGUGAAUGGCCGUCUAUCAAGGCGCAUCCAUCCAUGAUAAAAGUAAUCCACCACACGACUCUGGCGGGGUUAUAAAGCCCUUUUAAAGCGAAGCAUUUGUGCUAUGAGGAAAAACUCUACCGUGGCGUGCACACAGAGAACAGAGCUCAAUGCUGCUAACUGGGGGAGCAGCUGGACAACUAGAAGAGAGAAUAGUAGAACACUAUUAUUAAUACAGAUUCCUGGAU